UACGUAGGGUGCGAGCGUUGUCCGGAAUUAUUGGGCGUAAAGGGCUCGUAGGCGGUUUGUCGCGUCGGGAGUGAAAACCCAGGGCUUAACUCUGGGCUUGCUUUCGAUACGGGCAGACUAGAGGUAUGCAGGGGAGAACGGAAUUCCUGGUGUAGCGGUGAAAUGCGCAGAUAUCGGGAGGAACACCGGUGGCGAAGGCGGUUCUCUGGGCCUGUACUGACGCUGAGGAGCGAAAGCGUGGGGAGCGAACAGG
rnacentral:rRNA from 1 species